UAGCAGAACCCCAAGUGGUAGUCAUUAUUAUUGGGCUUAAAGUGUUCGUAGCCGGCUAUACAAGUCUGCUGUGAAAUCCACAUGCUUAACAUGUGGGCGUGCAGCGGAUACUGUAUUGGCUAGGGACCGGACGGCGUCGAGGCUAUUCCAAGGGUAGGGGUGAAAUCCUAAAAUCCUUGGAGGAGCACCUGUGGCGAAAGCGCUCGACGAGUACGGAUCCGACGGUGAGGAACGAAAGCCAGGGGAGCAA
rnacentral:rRNA from 1 species